rnacentral:rRNA from 1 species
GACGAACGCUGGCGGCGUGCCUAAUACAUGCAAGUCGAACGCAGUGGGUACGGGUGAGUAACACGUGGGUAACCUCCCAUCAGAGGGGAUAACACUUGGAAACAGGUGCUAAACCGAUACUGAUGGAUGGACGUGGGUUGCAUUAGCUAGUUGGUGAGGUAACGGCUCACCAAGGACACGAUGCAUAGCCGACCUGAGAGGCGAGGCGGCCACACUGGGACUGAGACACGACCCAGACUCCUACGGGAGGAAGCAGUGGGGAAUCUUCGACAAUGGACGAAAGUCUGACCGAGAAACGCCGCGUAAGUGAAGAAGGUUUUCGGAUCGUAAUACUCUGUUGUUAGAGAAGCGGUAUCUAACCAGAAAGCCACGGCUAACUACGUGCCAGCAGCCGCGGUAAUUC